CCUACGGGAGGCCGCAGUGAGGAAUAUUGGUCAAUGGGCGCGAGCCUGAACCAGCCAAGUAGCGUGAAGGAUGACUGCCCUACGGGUUGUAAACUUCUUUUAUAAAGGAAUAAAGUGAGGCACGUGUGCCUUUUUGUAUGUACUUUAUGGAUAAGGAUCGGCUAACUCCGGGCCCGCAGCCGCGGUAAUAACGGGGAUCCGAGCGUUAUCCGGGUUUAUUGGGUUUAAAGGGAGCGUAGAUGGGUGUUUAAGUCCGUUGGGAAAGUUUGCGGCUCAACCGGCAACUUGCAAUUGAUACUGGCAGUCUUGAGUACAGUUGAGGUAGGCGGAAUUCGUGGUGUAGCGGUGAAAUGCUUAGAUAUCACGAAGAACUCCGAUUGCGAAGGCAGCUUACUAAACUGCCACUGACAUUGAUGCUCGAAAGUGUGGGUAUCAAACAGGAUUAGAUACCCGGGUAGUC
rnacentral:rRNA from 1 species